rnacentral:lncRNA from 1 species
UGGGAUAUAUACAUAGCAAAAGAAUAUUCUUCUGUUACAUUUUGUUAUUAGCUAGCAAAUAGGAUUUAGACACAUGUAUAGGUGGUUAUUUUGAUUCAUUUAUUCUUUCAUAGAAUAAUCUUUUAUAUAGAUUGUCUCUGUACAGAAUGAAUACACAGAAAAUUUCCAUAAAAUUGUCUUCAUUUUACAGUCUUUCAUAGUAUCAGAGUUGUAGCUCUUUCUGGGAAAAAUCAGCUCCUUUCUUCUUCCCUUUUCUGCGUCAUAACCUUCACCAUGAGUGAAACAACAGACACCACUGUUGCUGUCUUCUUCUGCUAAUGCAGUCAAUUUUGAUCCAAAUAACCCAUAUUUUCUUCACUCAUCAGAUGCACCAGGUAUGAAUCUUGUAAAUGUAGUAUUUGAUGGAAGAGGCUUUCAAGGCUGGAGGAGAUCAGUUCUGAUUGCUCUUUCAGCAAAGAACAAGUUGGGGUUCAUUAAUGGAACAUGCCCUGCUCCUGCCAUCACUUCCAAUGAGUAUCAUCCAUGGACAAGAUGCAAUGACAUGGUGACUUCCUGGUUACUGAACUCACUAUCCAAAGAUAUUGGAGUUAGUGUCAUAUAUUCCAAAUCUGCUAAAGAGCUUUGGACAAGUCUUGAACACAGAUUUGGAAGGUCAAAUGGAGCUAAGUUGUAUCACCUGCGCAAAGAACUAUCCAGUUUAGUACAAGGAACAAGUGAUAUAGCAGGUUACUUCACAAAGCUCAAACGUCUAUGGGAUGAAUUAGACUCUUUAAUAUGUGAUGUUAAGUGUGUAUGUGCUUGUGUGUGUUCUAGUAAACAGAAACUGGAAAAAUCCCUAGAAGAUGAAAGACUUAUACAGUUUCUUAUGAGUCUAAAUGAUGUCUAUGGACAGGCAAGGAGAAACAUUUUGAUGAUGAACCCUUACCUAGCUUGGAUCUUGCUUAUUCUCUGGUAUUGCAGGAUGAGAGUCAGAGAGAGAUCUAUAUGAAUCCCCUCCUCUCUGCUGACUCUUCAUCCUUCAUGGUGGGCACUCAAGCUAACCUUGCAGCACAAGGAAAUUUUGUGCAAAGGAAUAACAAACAAGGACAAAGAAACAUUGGGCAAUUUCAGAAGCAAUCUCAAAAAUCAGGAAACAACAUGCAAUUCCAAAGAUCAGGAAGCAAUAUGCAGAAAAAUGGGAAUACUCCGCAAAGAAACUUUGUUGCAAAAGGAAAGAAGAACAAGUUCAAUCCUAACUUAUCUUGCACCCAUUGCAAGAAAAUAGGACAUUCAGUGGGAGAUUGCUAUAGAAUCAUUGGUUUUCCUGAAGAUUUUGAAAUCACCAAUCCUAGAGGUACUCAAGUUCAAUUCAGAAGCAAUGGAGCUAUAACAGGGGAACAAGGAGAGGAUGUAAGCAACUAUUCUGAGGUUCUGAAUCAGCACCUUUCCAAGGAUCAAUUUUCACAAUUAGUCCAGAUGAUAAAGCAAGUAAAAGCUCCAGAUGCAGGGAGUUUAAAUUCAGAAAUCAACACAAAUGCAGUAGCUGGUACUAUUAUGAAGUACACUGGAAGUUGUUUUUCAGUUUUUAACACUAAUACUUGGAUAAUUGAUUCAGGAGCCUCAGAACAUAUGUGUUUUGAUUCAAAUGCUUUCAUUUUUUUGAAACCCCUUCCAGUUCCUUUACAUAUAAAUACGCCCAAUUCUUUCAAAGUGACAGUCACACAUACUGGGAAUUCCUAUCUCUGCUGAAUUCAUUUUAGAAAAUGUCCUUCAUGUUCCCAGUUUCAAAUAUAACCUGUUAUCAGUUAAUAGGUUUUGUGUUCAAUUUCACUACUUAAUGUUAUUUACUCAUAACUUGUGUCUCUUGUAGGCCCCUUUAGUGAAGAGGGCUCAAGUUUUUGGUGAAGAAAAGGAAGGACUAUAUCUGUUGCAACCUAGUGGUGAUAGGUCUAGCUCAAAGGAGAAGUGUUUUUUAUCUUCAAAUCAACGUGUUCUUAGUCCAGUUUUAGUUGAUUUUCCUUUUUCUGCAAAUGCAGCUUCUGAUGUAAACCUUUGGCACAUUAGAUUGGGGCAUUUGCCUUUUUCAUCAAUGAAGCAUCUCAUUUUUAUUUCAAGUUUUCCUAAUUCUGAAUGUUUCUGUCAUAUUUGUCCCCAAGCUAGGCAAACUAGGAUUCCUUUUCCUUUGAGUCAAAUUACUUCCAAAAUAGCAUUUGAAUUAAUUCGUGUUGAUACAUGGGAACCCUAUAAGGAAUCCACCUACAAUGGCUUUAAGUACUUUUUGACUAUUGUGGAUGACUUUAGCAGAGGAACUUGGACCUUUAUAUUAAGCACAAAAUCUAAUGCUUUUUCAGUUUUUAAGGAUUUUCUCACUAUGGUUGAAAGGCAAUUUGGGGUAAAGGUCCAAAUAAUAAGGACAGACAAUGCAUUUGAACUAGGUAAAGGCUCUCAACAGGCUGCUUUCCUUAGUUAUCAAGGAAUCUUGCAUCAAACAUCUUGUGUAGCCACACCUCAACAGAAUGGGAUUGUUGAAAGGAAGCACAGGCACCUUCUAGAAAUGGAAAGGGCUUUGUUGUUUCAAUCCAAGGUGCCUAUACCAUACUGGGGAGAAUGCUUAUUGACAGCCACAUUUUUUAAUCAACAGGCUGCCCUCUAAGGUACUUCAUGGCAAGAAACCUUUUUCUAUACUGUUUAACCAGUCACCCUCUUAUGAAAUGCUUAGGAGUUUUGGAUGUCUUUGUUUUGCAUCUACCCUAUCUGGUGGAAGGAACAAAUUUGAGCCUAGGGCUAAGGCCUAUGGGUCAAAAGGGAUAUAAAGUACUAGAGUCAGACACACAGAAAGUUGUGGUAUCCAGGGAUGUUCAUUUUCAUGAAACCAAAUUCCCUUUUGCCUCAAACACCUUAUCUCCAGAUCUUAUCUUCCCUACUCCCACACCAGUAGAAACAACCUUUCCUGAACCUUCCCCAACCUCUCCUUUACCUGAACCUAACAAUUCUCACGCACCCAGUCCUUCUAGAAUUCACUCACCAACUAACACUACUCCUCAAUCUCCUCAGUCUUCUUAUCCCUCUGGUCCUAUUACCUAUGAGGAGCAUCCCACACCUGCACCCACACCAGCAGUGAGAAAGUCCACCAGAGUAACUACAUGGCCUAGUCCUCUAAAGGAUUUCAUCUGUAAUAACAUCUACCUCACAGACCUGACCAACUCAUGUUUUGUUAACCCCUCCAACCUAAUAUUUUUUUCUUUUGGAGCUCUCUCUAGUCAUAAUCAGCAGGUACUGCAAUCUGUAUCAGCUAUAUCAGAACCUGGCAGCUUUUCUGAAGCAUCUAAGCAUCCUGGGUGGCAGCAAGCAAUGCAAUCAGAGAUUGAUGCUUUGGAAGCUAAUCACACUUGGGAUGUGGUUAUCUUACCAAAGGGAAAGAAAGCUUUACCUUGUAAAUGGGUUUACAAGGUCAAACAUAAUUCAGAUGGGUCGGUUGAAAGGCUUAAAGCACGACUAGUAGUCGGGGGGACAUCCAACGUGAAGGCAUAGACUACACUGAGACAUUCUCCCCUGCGGUAAAAAUGACCACUAUACGAUGCUUAUUAGCCAUUGCAGUCAAGAAAGACUGGCCCAUUCAUCAAAUGGACGUCAAUAAUGCAUUCCUACAUGGUACUUUGCAAGAAGAGGUCUUUAUGAAGUUUCGAGCAGGAUUAUCUGCACCUACUGUCAACCAUGUAUAUCUACUGAAGAAAUCCUUGUAUGGAUUAAAACAGGCAUCACGACAGUGGUAUGCCCGUCUUGUAGGUGACUUAAGUUAUAAAGGCUACUCCUCAUCUCUAAAUGAUUACUCCUUAUUUUUAAAAGGAGGAAUAGCCUAAUCUCAGUUGUAGCUGUUUAUUUUGACGACAUUCUAAUUAGUGGCGAUGAUGCAGAAGAGAUUACUGAUCUUAAGUCUUUUCUCAACUCUGAAUUCAAGGUCAAGGACUUGGGAAACUUACAUUACUUUCUAGGCAUGGAAAUACUUCGAGAAAAACAGGGCAUAUUUAUGUGUCAACGUAAGUUUAC